CCUGGCGGCACUAGCGCGGUGGUCCCACCUGACCCCAUGCCGAACUCAGAAGUGAAACGCCGUAGCGCCGAUGGUAGUGUGGGGUCUCCCCAUGUGAGAGUAGGGAACUGCCUGGC
rnacentral:rRNA from 1 species